rfam:Capsicum annuum cultivar Zunla-1 chromosome 3, whole genome shotgun sequence
AUUUUGUAACUUUGGGAGAAGGGAUGCCUCCUCCAAAGGUCAUAUUAACCAGGCUGGGUAAUUUUUUACCAAAAACACAGGUCUUCGCAAAGUUAUAAAACCAUGUAUAGGAGUUGAUGACUACCUAGUGUCAGAAGGUUAAGAAAGGUAGUGACUGAUAAUAGGGCAGACAGUGAUCGAAGCCUCAAUGAAUAGUGGUCGUAAUUAUAAUAGUCCUAAGGUUGUAAAAUGACUUUUAAAGAGAAAUAGAUGACUAAGUAACAUAUGA